AAAUGCUUUUCUGCUAUGGAGACUUGCAGAGUAUUUGCCCAGAGUGGAUGUGAAGAAAAUGCCCUUUGUGCACAGAAUUAACCCUACUUCUCUUGUCUUUUGCAAAAUGUUGGCAUCAAAUAAACAGCAACAGGAUCCUCUGAAUUGUGUUUGUCACCCGGAGUGUUUGAUCAAAAACUGCACUUCUGAAGAGUUUCAAUGAUGGAGAGAGUGAUAAGGACUACAGAGAUGGCAUUUUGAUCUUGUGCAAAAAACUAAGAAGGAGAAGCAUGAGAAGAACUCCUGAAUGGUGAGAAAGGGGUAGGAAUGGAAGAAACCAAAAAUGAGAAAUGAUUGUGAAAUACUUUUAUAGCAUUCACUAGUCCUAUUGAAGACAAUCAAAACUGCCUAAAAUCUACUUUUCAAUCAAGAUGCCAACU